CAGUAGCCACGGGAAUACGGAGGGUGCAAGCGUUAAUCGGAAUUACUGGGCGUAAAGCGCACGCAGGCGGUCUGUCAAGUCAGAUGUGAAAUCCCCGGGCUUAACCUGGGAACUGCAUUUGAAACUGGCAGGCUAGAGUCUUGUAGAGGGGGGUAGAAUUCCAGGUGUAGCGGUGAAAUGCGUAGAGAUCUGGAGGAAUACCGGUGGCGAAGGCGGCCCCCUGGACAAAGACUGACGCUCAGGUGCGAAAGCGUGGGGAGCAAACAGGAUUAGAUACCCGCGUAGUCCCUGUCUCUUAUAC
rnacentral:rRNA from 1 species